rnacentral:rRNA from 1 species
UACGUAGGGUGCGAGCGUUGUCCGGAAUUAUUGGGCGUAAAGGGCUCGUAGGCGGUUUGUCGCGUCGGGAGUGAAAACUCAGGGCUUAACCCUGAGCCUGCUUCCGAUACGGGCAGACUAGAGGUAUGCAGGGGAGAACGGAAUUCCGUGGUGUAGCGGUGAAAUGCGCAGAUAUCAGGAGGAACACCGGUGGCGAAGGCGGUUCUCUGGGCAUUACCUGACGCUGAGGAGCGAAAGUGUGGGGAGCGAACAGG